rnacentral:rRNA from 1 species
UACGAAGGGGGCUAGCGUUGUUCGGAAUUACUGGGCGUAAAGCGCACGUAGGCGGGCUAUUAAGUUAGAGGUGAAAUCCCGGAGCUCAACUCCGGAACUGCCUUUAAUACUGGUAGUCUUGAGUCCGAGAGAGGUGAGUGGAAUUCCGAGUGUAGAGGUGAAAUGCGUAGAUAUUCGGAGGAACACCAAUUGCGAAGGCAGCUCACUGGACCGCUAUCGACGCUGAGGAGCGAAAGCUAGGGGAGCAAACAGG